rnacentral:rRNA from 1 species
UACGAAGGUGGCAAGCGUUACUCGGAAUUACUAGGCGUAAAGGGCAGGUAGGUGGUUCAGCAAGUCUGUUGUGGAAGCUCCCGGCUUAACCGGGAGAGGCCAACGGAAACUGCUGAACUUGAGUGUAGGAGAGGGUAUUGGAAUUCCCGGUGUAGCGGUGAAAUGCGCAGAGAUCGGGAGGAACACCAAUGGCGAAAGCAGAUACCUGGACUAUUACUGACACUAAGCUGCGAAAGCUAGGGGAGCAAACAGG